rnacentral:rRNA from 1 species
CCUACGGGAGGCAGCAGUGGGGAAUAUUGGGCAAUGGGCGCAAGCCUGACCCAGCAACGCCGCGUGAAGGAAGAAGGCUCUCGGGUUGUAAACUUCUUUUCUGAGGGACGAAGAAAGUGACGGUACCUCCGGAAUAAGCCACGGCUAACUACGUGCCAGCAGCCGCGGUAAUACGGAGGUGGCAAGCGUUAUCCGGAUUUAUUGGGUGUAAAGGGUGUGUAGGCGGGAAAGCAAGUUAGAUGUGAAAACUCAGGGCUCAACCCUGGGCCUGCAUUUGAAACUGUUUGUCUUGAGUGCUGGAGAGGCAGGCGGAAUGGCGUGUGUAGCGGUGAAAUGCGUAGAUAUACGGAAGAACACCAGUGGCGAAGGCAGAUUGCUAGAC